ensembl:snRNA U6 U6 spliceosomal RNA
GUGUUUGCUUUGGCAGCACAUAUACUAAAAUUAGAAUGAUACAGAGAUUAACUUGGCCCUCGUCCAAGAAUGACAUGCAAAUUUGUGAAGUGUUCCCAAUUUUU